GAGGAAUUGACAGUAAACCCUGCAGAUAAACACUACAAGAGCAACAGCGCAAGCACCACCACAGAUCACAUAAAGUCCCCAGAAGCUACUGAGAGAAAGGCGAGUAUCGUCGACUUGGUUGUUUUGUGAAGAGCAUUCAUUGUUAGAUAGCCAUUUGUCAUGGAUCCUUUGUAAUUCACCAUUUUCUGAUAGUUGAAGGAUAGCAGUUGACAAAUCAAUAGCCAGAGGAGAGUCUCUUUGAAAUGCAAAGCCCCAUCCGCUCUUUGUGAACUCCUGUCCUACAGUCCUGAAUAUGCAUUUGCUAUUAGACAAAAAAAGCUCAACAUAAGGGAGCUCGUCGACAAUGGCAGCAACACCACCACCUUUUGGACCAUUCUGGAGGGCGCUAACAUAUUCAGCUUCACUUUUUAUUAUUCGGAGCCGCGACUUUGGAACAUGUAGCUCAUCAAUGAGAUAAUUGUAUGCAAAUGACCCAUCCUGGACUCCUAUAGGAUCAGGGCUUGAGAUUAAACUGUCAAUUCCAGCAACUCCUGAAGACAGCUUCUGCACUGUAAGAAUAGAUGUCA
rnacentral:misc_RNA from 1 species